UAACAUUAUCACAUAAAUAAGUAACUUACCUCUUGAACUCGUCUCAAAAUAGGUUCUUUUGAAAUAUUUGAGAAAAUAUUUACUUUUCUUUUAAAGACAAUUAAGAACGUUGAUAAUUAAAUCAUGAAAAAGUAAAGAUAGAGUAGUGUAAUAUAAAAUAGUCAAAAAUACAACUAGGUAGUGUAAUGGAAACUAGUUGAACCAACUAAACACAUCGCAAAGUCAUGAUGGAACAAGGACAAAUCUAUCAUGAAGAAGUACUAGAACUUGGGUUAUCAAGAAACUAUUUUAACCAUAUCAUUUGGUAGUUAAGCUUUAAUUUACGUCUUUUACAGAUCUUCAUGCGAAGCCGUUCCAACUUAUAUUAGUUAAGGACAGAAGGGAUCCCCAACUACACUGUGAAUGGGCAAACACAUCCAUUUUCAUAUAAGAUAUUUCAGAUAUAAACUAAUGAUCACAGUCAUACUUUACCACUGUGGGCCCUACAGAUUAGAUAAGACUAAUGACCACGGUCUUAUUUCACCACUGUGGCUCGUACAUAUCAGAUAACGAAUCCACUAUUGUUAGAGGAAAUGCCAAUACCAUUCAUAGGGUGGUUCACCAAAAGAUAUAGAUUCAGAUACAGAAGUAGAAACCCCUCAGAGAUAAUGGUCAAACAGAUUUUCCAUUCUUUCCUCUUUCUUUACAAAUUUCCGUUCAUAGAUAGUUGCAAAAUUAGAACCUGGUGGAGGUCCAACAACAUAUCUUAGCCUUAAGGGCCAUUUUACUCGAACUUAGCCAUCGGGCCAUCUUCUUGAGUAGAGGCCCUAUAAAAUGAUCCUCUCCACCAUUACCCAAGGGCAAGUCAGAGGGCUAAACCUACACAUACUUUAAGUCAUCAAAAGCUAAUCCAGACAUGCUUUUCAUUUUUACAGAACACGAUCAACAUAUAUUCUCAUUGACAUCAGAUAGUUGAUAAAUCACAUUUUAAAUUCAUGCAUCAAGACAAGUUGAAAUCAUUAAUUAAAUAUUUAGAAUCUCCCUUAGAAAUGUAUGAGAAAAUAUCAAGAAAUUCCUUACUAAAACAUUUAUGAUUUUCGAAGUCCUAUGGAAAAAGGAUGAAAAGAUGUAUUGGCAACGCGAACCAUAAGAAGAAAUCCUAAAGUCUCUCACACAUUUUUUCCCAAACUUUUCUUUGGAUUUUGAGAUAGG
rnacentral:lncRNA from 1 species